GCCGCCGCUCCCGGUUCUGCCGGUACCCCGGCCUCCCCGCCGCUCCCGGGCGUUUCUCCGGCCUCUCCCUCCAUCUCCGUGAGGAGCUGCAGGGCCUCGUGCUGGGACCGCACCAGCGCGUCCAGCCGCCGGUGCAGGUCCCGCAGAAUUCCGGCCCCGGCGUCGCCUCCCGCCUCCCGCACCCGCGCUCCCACCCCGUCCCGCAGCGCCCGCAGCUCCCGCCGCAGCCGCCACGCCUCGUCCCGCUUCCCGGGAUCCCGCAGCUCCCGCAGCUCCUGCUGCAGCCGCUCCCGCUCCCGGCCCAGCCGCGCCAGCUCCACCAGGAGCUUCCCGUUGCCCUCCCGCAGCUCCAGCAGCUCCUUCUCCAUCCUCCCGCCCUCCCUCGGCAUCUCCUCCCGGCUCUUCUCCGCGCCGUUCACCGCCGGCUCCGACCCGAGCUUUUCCAGGAGGAUUUGGGAUCCCUGCAGCAUCCUGGCGUGGAUCUGGUCCUGCUGGUCCAGCGCCUGCUCCAGCCCCGCCGCCAGCUGCUCCCAGGCCCCGUCCCGGAGGGAAUCCUCUGCUUCCCGACGCAGCUCCUGGCUCCGCGAGGAGACGCCGGCCUUCGCUUCCCGCAUUUUGGAGCACUCCUCUCCCAGCCAGGCCAGGAACGGGAUCAGCGCCGGAGCCUCGGCGCUGCCUUGUCCUCCUUCCCACUCUUCAUCCCUCGUCCUCUUCCUCAGCUCCGCCACGCGCCGGGCCAGGAGCUCCAGGCAGGCGCCGUCAUCCUCCUCAUCCUCCUCACCCUCCUCAUCCUCCUCAUCCUCAGCCGCGUCCCGUCCCGGCAGGAGCCGCACGAGCUCCCGCAGCCGCCGGCGGAUGCCCUCGGCAGCUUCCUCCAGCCGCCGGCAUUCCAGAGUCUUCCUCGCCAGCUCCUCCCGCAGCCGCCGGGCAGCGCGUCCGUCCCGCUGCUCCUCAGCCUCCUCCUCCUCCUCCUCCUCACCCUGGAUUCCCACCUGUCCAGCACCAUUCUCUGCUGGAGGGAGAAACACAAUCCGUUUUCCCAAUUUUCCCUAUUUUUUCCAAUUUUCCCCGUUGUUUUCCCAUUUUCCCCCAUUCUUUCCUUUUUUUGGGGGAGGUCUCACCUCUCCUCCCACAGUGCGGGACCUUCUGGAGAGCCCAACCUGGAGCCUUCCCGGUGACAUUCCGGGUGACAUUCCCGGUGUCCUUCUUGUCCCUCUGGUGGCCCUGCAGCAGCUCGGCCACUUCCAGGCUGCUGUGAGCCAGGGCCAGCUCCAGCGCUGUCCUGAGCCGGGGAUGUGACACGGAGGGACACGGGGACACAGUGAACAGUGGCAGG
rnacentral:lncRNA from 1 species